UGCCCCUAUGCAGCAGAUGCUGUGCGGACAUGACCAUUACAUACUUCUGCGUUGAUGUGUCCGUUACGUGCGGCAGUACUCCGCCAAAAUACUUGAAGGCAGUAUGGUCUCUCUGAUAGUACGGUCGCCUAUUUCCGGGCCCGCUACGAUCUCUGUUUAGUUUUCCACAGAAAAUCAGAACGUGUUAUGUUAAUUUAGAGCUGAUACAUGUUACUUUUUUUCAUGCAGACAUGAUUACAAGGAAGAAUAGAGAGGAGGAGAUGAAAUACACUAGUGGGGAUCCCGGAAGUGUUGUAAAUGCGGGAAAUACAAUGCUGCUGAGUGGACGACGUCGAUUCAAUGUGUAGUUACAUUUUUGAGGAGGUGCGCGUCAGCUACGUGCAUAGGCCUCUGCAUAGGUAUGGGAGCUACGAGACUGCUGGCGUAGGCUACACAGUCGAUUCAACGCAGAAGUAUAACUCAGUCUUUAGCCUCCUACACUAGUGUGCUCUUGGCUCUGUUAGCUAACAUGCUGUGAUAAUACUCACGAUGUUAACCCGGGAUACCUGUAAACUCUACAGGGCUCAGGUCAGGUGAGCUGGCUGAUCAAGCACAGUGAUAUCAUUGUCAGUAAACCAUAUGGUGGUAGUUUUGGCGCUGUGGGCAGGUGCUAAGCCCUGCUGGAAAAGGAAAUCAGCAUCUCCAUAAAGCUUGUCAGCAGAUGAAGAAUGAAGUGCUCAAAAAUCUCCUGGUAGACACUGUGUUGACUUCGGACUUGAUGAAGCACAGAGGACCAAAACCAGCAGAUGACAUGACACCCUAAAUCAUCACAGACUGCAGAAACUUCACACUGGACUUGAACCACCUUGGAUUCUGUGCCUCUCCACUCUUCCUCCAGACUCCAGGACCUUGAUGUCCAAAUGAAAUUUUAUAUGAACUUUAAUCUGAAAGAGGACUUUGGAACACUGAGCAACACCAGUUAUUUUUCUCCUGAGCCCAGAGAGUAACUGCCUCAAUGUGUCACACCAAUGAGCUUCAGGUCUGCCAUCGUUCCUGUAGGAUUAGUCCCAACCUGCCUGACUGACCUCUGUCCAGUAACAUUCGUCUCUGUGGUGAUGAGGUGAAUUAAACAGCUUGAGGAUCUCAUCUGCUGUUCAUUACCCAGCACACUGGACCCACCAAAGAAUCCAUCUGACCCAAAGAAAACACCAUGGCACAUCUACACUAACAGACUGGGACAGGCUGAGAUGAUAGACUUCUAUUUAAAAAGACUGAAGCUGUCCUGUAAGUGGCAACCUUUAAACACGUCACUGUGCAGGUGGAUUGUUGACUUACCGAAGGACAACUGAUGACCCAUCCUUCACCUUCAUUCCUAACACUGGUAAUCUGUGUUGAACUCCCUGCUGUUCUACCUGUACACACAUGACUGUACAGCCACUUAAAAAUCCGACACCACCAGGACUGAUCCCAGGGAUGUUUGUGGUUGUCAGCAGUACAUGCUUUCUGUAAACAUGUUGAAUGUAUUCAGCAUUGAAAUACAAAUGUCCCUGAGGAGAUAAUAAAGGGUCAUAUUGUAAA